CAGUAGCCGCGGUAACACGUAGGUCCCGAGCGUUGUCCGGAUUUAUUGGGCGUAAAGCGAGCGCAGGCGGUUAGAUAAGUCUGAAGUUAAAGGCUGUGGCUUAACCAUAGUACGCGUUGGAAACUGUUUAACUUGAGUGCAAGAGGGGAGAGUGGAAUUCCAUGUGUAGCGGUGAAAUGCGUAGAUAUAUGGAGGAACACCGGUGGCGAAAGCGGCUCUCUGGCUUGUAACUGACGCUGAGGCUCGAAAGCGUGGGGAGCAAACAGGAUUAGAUACCCCUGUAGUCCCUGUCUCUUAUACA
rnacentral:rRNA from 1 species